CAAUAGCGUAUAUUAAAGUUGUUGCAGUUAAAAAGCUCGUAGUUGGAUUUCUGUUCUUGGGCAGCGGUCCGCCGCAAGGUGAGCACUGCUAUCCUGGGGACAUCCUCUCGAAGGCGGGUGGUGCACUUAAUUGUGUGCUGCUUGGAUUCGGGACCUUUACUUUGAAAAAAUUAGAGUGUUCAAAGCAGGCGUCGGCUUGAAUACAUUAGCAUGGAAUAAUGGAAUAGGACUUCGGUUCUAUUUUGUUGGUUUCUAGGACCGAAGUAAUGAUUAAUAGGGACAGUUGGGGGCAUUAGUAUUUAAUUGUCAGAGGUGAAAUUCUUGGAUUUAUGAAAGACUAACUACUGCGAAAGCAUUUGCCAAGGAUGUUUUCAUUAA
rnacentral:rRNA from 1 species